AAGCCAUGGUGAGGAAAUUUCCUUAACAACUCCUUGUAUCGCUCCUAAGCCUCAUAAAAUUAUUCUUCCUCAUACUGAGCAAAGUUAUUGAUCUGUCUCCUUAAACAU